CCCCUAGUAACUGCGAGUGAAGCGGGAAAAGCUCAAAUUUGAAAUCUGGCGGUUCCGCCGUCCGAGUUGUAUUCUGGAGAAGCGUUUUCCGUGCCGGACCGUGUACAAGUCCCUUGGAACAGGGCGUCGUAGAGGGUGAGAAUCCCGUCUUUGACACGGACCCCCGGUGCUAUGCGAUGCGCUCUCGAAGAGUCGAGUUGUUUGGGAAUGCAGCUCAAAAUGGGUGGUAAAUUCCAUCUAAAGCUAAAUAUUGGCGAGAGACCGAUAGCGAACAAGUACCGUGAGGGAAAGAUGAAAAGCACUUUGGAAAGAGAGUAAAACAGUACGUGAAAUUGUUGAAAGGGAAACGCUUGAAGUCAGUCGCGUCUGCCGGAACUCAGCCUUGCUUCUGCUUGGUGCACUUUCCGGUUUGACGGGCCAGCAUCGGUUUCGAGCGGCGGACACUGGCGAGGGGAAGGUGGCAGCUCCGGCUGUGUUAUAGCCCUUUGUCGCAAACGUCGCCCGGGACCGAGGAAUCCGGCGCAAGCCUGGGAUGCUGGCGUAAUGGCUUUAAACGACCCGUCUUGAAACACGGACCAAGGAGUGCUACGUGCUCGCGAGUGUUUGGGUGGAAAACCCGGACGCGCAAUGAAAGUGAAAGUCGAUACCCCUCGCGGGGGCACCGACGCCCGAGCCUGAUGUUUUCGGAAGGCCUUGCGGUAGAGCGAGUGCGUUGCGACCCGAAAGAUGGUGAACUAUUCCUGAGGAGGGCGAAGCCAGAGGAAACUCUGGUGGAGGCUCGUAGCGGUUCUGACGUGCAAAUCGAUCGCAGGACUUGGGUAUAGGGGCGAAAGACUAAUCGAACCAUCUAGUAGCUGGUUCCUGCCGAAGUUUCCCUCAGGAUAGCAGAAGCUCAUAUCAGAUUUAUGUGGUAAAGCGAAUGAUUAGAGGCCUUGGGGUUGAAACAACCUUAACCUAUUCUCAAACUUUAAAUAUGUAAGGACGAGCCGUCACUUGAUUGGACCGCUCGACGAUUGAGAGCUUCUAGUGGGCCAUUUUUGGUAAGCAGAACUGGCGAUGCGGGAUGAACCGAUCGCGAGGUUAAGGUGCCGGAAUGCACGCUCAUCAGACACCACAAAAGGUGUUAGUUCAUCUAGACAGCAGGACGGUGGCCAUGGAAGUCGGAAUCCGCUAAGGAGUGUGUAACAACUCACCUGCCGAAUGAACUAGCCCUGAAAAUGGAUGGCGCUCAAGCGUGCUACCCAUACCUNNNNNNNNNNNNNUUGAAGUGACGCGCUGACGAGUAGGCAGGCGUGGGGGUCUGUGA
rnacentral:rRNA from 2 species